rnacentral:lncRNA from 1 species
AACUUAAACCAGACAUAUCCAAAUCCUCCUCAGACAUACCACUCCCCCUACAUUUCAGACCAUACCAUAUUAGACUUCGAGAAUAUCAGAAGCGCAGAGCCGAAAUUUUUGAUCCCAAACCUCCUUUAGCAGUGUUGUCUCGUUCAGCGGAACGAAUGCGUGAAUUUUGGAAGCGAAAGAGAAGCCUACGUCACGUCACUGUUUCCUCGGUCGUUCACAAAGCGAGCGAUAUUCGUCCUUUUACUCAAGUUGAGAUACUCGGUGAGAGUUACCUUGCGCUAUUAGAUAGCGGAGCCAACAAAAGCGUCAUCGGAGGAAAAUUAGCCGAUAAAAUUCUCUCGAAAAAUCUUCUGACAAACAAAAUGAAAGGCGUUGUUCGUACUGCUGACGGUCAGACUCAGAUGGUAGCUGGUUUUAUUAAAGUUCCUCUGAAUUACAAUUCAAUACACUCGGACUUUGAAUUUCUAAUAGUUUCAUCUAUCCAACAGGAUAUAAUAUGUGGAAUGGACUUUUGGAAAAGAUUUGGCAUUUCUAUCGUUCCAUCAUCAUCAUGGACAGUAAGCGAGUUAUCCUUUCAAUCCGAGCACGAGUUUCUCAAGUUAGCCUUGUCGAUUUCUCAAAAGAAGCAGUUACAGCACGUGAUCGAAUUGUUUCCGUCAUUCGAAAAGAAUGGACUGGGGUUAACGACCCUAAUAGAGCACCACAUUGAUACGGCUAACAGCAAGCCAGUUAAGCAAAGAUUUUACCCUUUGUCUCCAGCAAAGGAGACCCUUUUAUGUGCAGAGAUUGAUC